UACGUAGGCAGCAAGCGUUGUUCGGAGUUACUGGGCGUAAAGGGUGCGUAGGCGGCUUCUUAAGUCUGAUGUGAAAUCUAUGGGCUCAACCCAUAGCCUGCAUCGGAAACUGUCGGACUUGAGUAUGGGAGAGGUGAGUGGAAUUUCCGGUGUAGCGGUGAAAUGCGUAGAUAUCGGAAGGAACACCUGUGGCGAAGGCGGUUGCCUGGGGCUUUGCUGACGCUGAUGCGCGAAAGCGUGGGGAGCGAUCCGG
rnacentral:rRNA from 1 species